AUUGAACGCUGGCGGAAUGCUUUACACAUGCAAGUCGAACGGCAGCACGGGGGCAGCCCUGGUGGCGAGUGGCGAACGGGUGAGUAAUACAUCGGAACGUGCCCGGUCGUGGGGGAUAACGUAGCGAAAGUUACGCUAAUACCGCAUACGAUCUGAGGAUGAAAGCGGGGGACCUUCGGGCCUCGCGCGAUCGGAGCGGCCGAUGUCAGAUUAGGUAGUUGGUGGGGUAAAGGCCUACCAAGCCGGCGAUCUGUAGCUGGUCUGAGAGGACGACCAGCCACACGGGGACUGAGACACGGCCCAGACUCCUACGGGAGGCAGCAGUGGGGAAUUUUGGACAAUGGGCGCAAGCCUGAUCCAGCCAUUCCGCGUGCAGGACGAAGGCCUUCGGGUUGUAAACUGCUUUUGUACGGAACGAAAAGGCUCUGGCUAAUACCUGGGGCUCAUGACGGUACCGGAAGAAUAAGCACCGGCUAACUACGUG
rnacentral:rRNA from 1 species